GUGGGGAAUAUUGGACAAUGGGCGAAAGCCUGAUCCAGCCAUGCCGCGUGUGUGAAGAAGGUCUUCGGAUUGUAAAGCACUUUAAGUUGGGAGGAAGGGCAGUAAGUUAAUACCUUGCUGUUUUGACGUUACCAACAGAAUAAGCACCGGCUAACUUCGUGCCAGCAGCCGCGGUAACACGAAGGGUGCAAGCGUUAAUCGGAAUUACUGGGCGUAAAGCGCGCGUAGGUGGUUCAGCAAGUUGAAGGUGAAAUCCCCGGGCUCAACCUGGGAACUGCCUCCAAAACUACUGAGCUAGAGUACGGUAGAGGGUAGUGGAAUUUCCUGUGUAGCGGUGAAAUGCGUAGAUAUAGGAAGGAACACCAGUGGCGAAGGCGACUACCUGGACUGAUACUGACACUGAGGUGCGAAAGCGUGGGGAGCAAACAGGAUUAGAAACCCCGGUAGUCC
rnacentral:rRNA from 1 species